rnacentral:rRNA from 1 species
GACAGAGGUCCCGAGCGUUAGGCGGAAUCACUGGGCUUAAAGCGUGUGUAGGCGGAUCGUUAAGUGCCUUGUGAAAUCCCAUGGCUUAACCAUGGAGCUGCUUGGCAUACUGGCGGUCUUGAGCCACUUAGGGGCAACCGGAACAAAUGGUGGAGCGGUGAAAUGCGUAGAUAUCAUUUGGAACGCCAAUGGUGAAAACAGGUUGCUGGGAGUGUGCUGACGCUGAGACACGAAAGCCAGGGAGCGAACGGG